GGGGAAGUCGGCUACUGCUGUGACAAAAGAAGAGCCGCUUGGACUUUUCUUCACACUCUUGUUGCUCAGAAACUAGUAUGAAAGUACAAGGAAGAAGAAGAAGUAACACAACCAUGUUCUAUAAAAGCUGAUGCCGUUGCAAAGGCACUUGGUUCUGACCCUCGAGGACAAGUUAGAGGGCUUGGGUUUGGUGCACUCCCUUCAAAAGUGGAUGGUCAAACACACGUUGCUAAUAAUGUCACUAUGCUAGAGAACGCUCUUGCUGCUCAAACACAAUAGGUGGACCGAUUAACAGAGUUAGUGCAAGGCCUCGUUGCUUGGCUAGACAAAGGAGAGAAUGUCAAUGCUCUAUGAUGUACGAAUUCUUUAUGGGAAAUGGUUGGCAUGUGGCAUCGUAUCAAGCUAUCAUCAGCCCCUUCAAGUACUCAUGUAAUCAAUCGGAAGACAAUUCUAAUCUAGCUAGCAUGUUCUAUAUUUGAAAACCAGUUUAACUAUACUACGAUUUUGUAAUAUCAAGUUAUUUAAUUGAUAUAAUUUACUA